UACGUAGGGUGCAAGCGUUGUCCGGAAUUAUUGGGCGUAAAGAGCUCGUAGGCGGUUUGUCGCGUCUGCUGUGAAAACUCGGGGCUUAACUCCGGGCCUGCAGUGGGUACGGGCAGACUAGAGUGCGGUAGGGGAGACUGGAAUUCCUGGUGUAGCGGUGAAAUGCGCAGAUAUCAGGAGGAACACCGGUGGCGAGGGCGGGUCUCUGGGCCGUAACUGACGCUGAGGAGCGAAAGCGUGGGGAGCGAACAGG
rnacentral:rRNA from 1 species